rnacentral:rRNA from 1 species
ACCAGACUCCUACGGGAGGCAGCAGUGGGGAAUAUUGCACAAUGGGGGAAACCCUGAUGCAGCAACGCCGCGUGAGUGAAGAAGUAUUUCGGUAUGUAAAGCUCUAUCAGCAGGGAAGAGAAUGACGGUACCUGACUAAGAAGCCCCGGCUAACUACGUGCCAGCAGCCGCGGUAAUACGUAGGGGGCGAGCGUUAUCCGGAUUUACUGGGUGUAAAGGGGGCGCAGACGGCAGCGCAAGCCAGGAGUGAAAGCCCGGGGCCCAACCCCGGGACUGCUCUUGGAACUGCGCGGCUGGAGUGCAGGAGGGGCAGGCGGAAUUCCUGGUGUAGCGGUGAAAUGCGUAGAUAUCAGGAGGAACACCGGCGGCGAAGGCGGCCUGCUGGACCGAAACUGACGUUGAGGCUCGAAAGCGUGGGGAGCAAACAGGAUUAGAUACCCGAGUA